UACAGGGGGGGCAAGCGUUGUUCGGAAUUACUGGGCGUAAAGGGCUCGUAGGCGGCCAACUAAGUCACACGUGAAAUCCCCAGGCUUAACCUGGGAACUGCGUGUGAUACUGGAUGGCUUGAAUCCGGGAGAGGGAGGCAGAAUUCCAGGUGUAGCGGUGGAAUGCGUAGAGAUCCGGAGGAAGACCGGUGGCGAAGGCGCUCUGCUGGGCAGUCUCUGACACUGAGGCGCGACAGCGUGGGGAGCAAACAGG
rnacentral:rRNA from 1 species